UGGUGGAGUGAUUUGUCUGGUUAAUUCCGUUAACGAACGAGACCUCGACCUGCUAAAUAGUUCGACAAAGGAUUCGCUCCUUUGCAUCGUGACUUCUUAGAGGGACUAUCGGUGUGUAGCCGACGGAAGUUCGAGGCAAUAACA
rnacentral:rRNA from 1 species